CAGGCCUAACACAUGCAAGUCGAACGAGACCUUCGGGUCUAGUGGCGCACGGGUGCGUAACGCGUGGGAAUCUGCCCUUGGGUUCGGAAUAACGUCGGGAAACUGACGCUAAUACCGGAUGAUGACGUAAGUCCAAAGAUUUAUCGCCCAAGGAUGAGCCCGCGUAGGAUUAGCUAGUUGGUGAGGUAAAGGCUCACCAAGGCGACGAUCCUUAGCUGGUCUGAGAGGAUGAUCAGCCACACUGGGACUGAGACACGGCCCAGACUCCUACGGGAGGCAGCAGUGGGGAAUAUUGGACAAUGGGCGAAAGCCUGAUCCAGCAAUGCCGCGUGAGUGAUGAAGGCCUUAGGGUUGUAAAGCUCUUUUACCCGGGAUGAUAAUGACAGUACCGGGAGAAUAAGCUCCGGCUAACUCCGUGCCAGCAGCCGCGGUAAU
rnacentral:rRNA from 1 species